AGCGAACGCUGGCGGCAGGCUUAACACAUGCAAGUCGAACGGGCACUUCGGUGCUAGUGGCAGACGGGUGAGUAACGCGUGGGAACGUGCCUUUCGGUUCGGAAUAAUCCAGGGAAACUUGGACUAAUACCGGAUACGCCCUUCGGGGAAGAUUUAUCGCCGAAAGAUCGGCCCGCGUCUGAUUAGCUAGUUGGUGAGGUAAAGGCUCACCAAGGCGACGAUCAGUAGCUGGUCUGAGAGGAUGAUCAGCCACACUGGGACUGAGACACGGCCCAGACUCCUACGGGAGGCAGCAGUGGGGAAUAUUGGACAAUGGGCGAAAGCCUGAUCCAGCCAUGCCGCGUGAGUGAUGAAGGCCUUAGGGUUGUAAAGCUCUUUUGUCCGGGAAGAUAAUGACUGUACCGGAAGAAUAAGCCCCGGCUAACUUCGUGCCAGCAGCCGCGGU
rnacentral:rRNA from 1 species